rnacentral:rRNA from 1 species
AGUGAACGCUGGCGGUAGGCCUAACACAUGCAAGUCGAACGGCAGCACAGUAAGAGCUUGCUCUUACGGGUGGCGAGUGGCGGACGGGUGAGGAAUACAUCGGAAUCUACUUUUUCGUGGGGGUUAACGUAGGGAAACUUACGCUAGUACCGCAUACGACCUACGGGUGAAAGCAGGGGUUCUUCGGACCUUGCGCGAUUGAAUGAGCCGAUGUCGGAUUAGCUAGUUGGCGGGGUAAAGGCCCACCAAGGCGACGAUCCGUAGCUGGUCUGAGAGGAUGAUCAGCCACACUGGAACUGAGACACGGUCCAGACUCCUACGGGAGGCAGCAGUGGGGAAUAUUGGACAAUGGGCGCAAGCCUGAUCCAGCCAUACCGCGUGGGUGAAGAAGGCCUUCGGGUUGUAAAGCCCUUUUGUUGGGAAAGAAAAGCAGCAGGUUAAUACCCCGCUGUUCUGACGGUACCCAAAGAAUAAGCACCGGCUAACUUCGUG